rnacentral:lncRNA from 1 species
UGUCAUUAUAUUUAAGUCGUUUUAAAUUUUUAUCAUGUUAUCUUACUGUUGAUUUUUAUUUGUAAAUAAUCAAAUUGCUAUAGUCUGGAUUUUUAGUAUAUUAAAGGACUUUUUGUCUUAUAUUUAAAUAUGCUUUAAAUUGUAAAAAUUUACUCUCGCCGCGAUAUAGCCUUUUUGUGCUAAUGCGGCGUAAAGCAACCGACAAUCAAUCAAUCAAUCAAUCUUUUGUGAAAUGUUUAUAUAAAUAGGUAAAUAGAUUAAUCUAUAUUUUCAUUUAAUCAAUACAGGGAAGCUAUAAAAACGUUCGAAGAACAAUCAUUGAUAAAGUUAUAGGAACGAAAUAAGUUCACGUGAAUGUAAGUGAUUUUAAAUCACUCAAGUGUAAAGAGUUGAGUUAUAAUUUCAUGUCACAUGUUUUAAAUAGCAAAUAAAUGAAAUAUAAAUAAACAAACACAGACACGUGAUGCUUAACACGUGUAUCGAGAAAAGAAAUAUUCAGUACAGC